rnacentral:SRP_RNA from 1 species
GUUGGGUCAUGGACCAUUGGCGUAGGCCUUCGGUUCCUGACCUCUAGAGAGGAGGGCACAGUGUUAGGCUGGUUUCACAGAGCAAACCAUUCAUGC